GGAGAAUCUGGUCAACGACCGGCCGAAUCGGCUUUGUACCUAACCCAUAACAGCCGAGCUCUCCCGAGAUCUCUUCUUGGUCGUGCGCCGUAGGAAUCGGUCUUGGCAUCCUGGGGAUAAAACAGGGAGAGCUCCACAACCCUGGCCACCUCCAAAUGCCGGUACCAGACAGGGAGAGAUUCUGAGGGAUUGAUGGCCACCUUGGGCUUCAUUGCCGCAGAUACCGUGGGCCACGUUGUGCGGGAGCAGGGAACUGCUUCUCCAUGGCCGUGUUCCGGUAAGGGAGUGAGAGAAGUUGUUGCUGCCGGUGUCCGCUCAUGCGCCGCCGUUGGUGCUUUCGCUGCUCCCUGCUAGCCGAGACCCUGCUGUAGGCUCGGGCAUUUCCUUGGGUCAUUGGGAAUCGAAGCAUGGCGACUUCGGGCGCGGUGGCGUCCUAGGAUCCCGGGAAUUCCUCACCGGAAUUUGGAGAAGUCGUCGUGCUUGCGCUCUGCCGUGGCCAGGGAUUGCGACGCUGCGAUUCACGAUACUAACGCUUCUGCUGCAUUCACUGCUUCUUUGGGAUUGUGUGGGUACCCUCGGAUCCGAAUUUGGGGCUGUGCAUCACCGGUUGGCAUGCUCGCCGGUGAGCCUCCGCCGCGGUUGGGUAUAGCGUUGCCCUACUGGUGGCUGGGUUGGGGAGGAUAGCGCCAUCACCGUCGAU
rnacentral:lncRNA from 7 species